GUGCCAGCAGCCGCGGUAAUACGGAGGGGACUAGCGUUGUUCGGAAUUACUGGGCGUAAAGCGCGCGUAGGCGGAUUUGCAAGUCGGGGGUGAAAGCCCGAGGCUCAACCUCGGAACUGCCCUCGAUACUGCAAAUCUCGAGUCCGAGAGAGGUGAGUGGAAUUCCUAGUGUAGAGGUGAAAUUCGUAGAUAUUAGGAAGAACACCAGUGGCGAAGGCGGCUCACUGGCUCGGUACUGACGCUGAGGCGCGAAAGCGUGGGGAGCAAACAGGAUUAGAAACCCCCGUAGUCC
rnacentral:rRNA from 1 species